UUUUGUUGUGCAAGUCGACCGAUAAUGCACUAUAAAUAUAUUUCAUUCUGCCCUCAUUUCCACACCUCAGACUUCUAAAAUCCUUGAAAAAAUGGAUUUCUACUAUUCAAUAAAAGAUUUUCUAGCAAUUACCCUAGCCAUAUUUCUCAUCGGAACCUCGCCCGGACAAGUUUCCGGCCAGAACUGCGGCUGUUCACAGGAUUUAUGCUGCAGCCAAUAUGGUUAUUGUGGCACCGGCAAUGACUACUGUGGCAGAGGGUGCCAAGGUGGCCCUUGCUAUGCUCCGCCAAGUAGUAAUGGAGUUUCGGUUCCUAAUAUCGUGACGGAUGCAUUUUUCAAUGGCAUUGCUGAUCAAGCUGCCUCAGAUUGUGCCGGCAAAGGAUUCUACACUAGAGCGGCAUUUCUUGAAGCUCUCGGUUUUUAUCAACAAUUCGGGACCGUUGGUUCUGUAGAUGAUUCUAAGCGCGAAAUUGCUGCAUUCUUCGCACACGUUACACAUGAAACUGGACGUAAGUUUUCCAAGAUGUCUUAUCUGAAUCGACUUCAUGAAUUUUUAUUAUUAUUAAUUUUUUUGGAACUUCAUUACUAUCAUUUUGUUCAAAAGUUAUAGCCAAUAAAUAAUUUGGUCAAGAUUGUAACAUUAGCCUAUAUAAUGUAUUGACCAAUUAAAUAAUUUAUUUUCCUUUGAAUAGUCAGGCACACCAUAAUAACACACUUUUUUAGAGGCAGAUUUGUCUUCCUACGCGUUGACUUUAUUUCAUACCAAUGAUUGAUAGCUUUAUUUAUAAAAUAGGGCUUAAGUUUUUAACACAAAAAUUGGUUUCUUUUUGCAGAUUUAUGCUAUAUAGAAGAAAUAAAUGGUCCAUCUAGAGAUUAUUGUGACGAGAAUAACACACAAUAUCCAUGUGCUCCCGGCAAGGGAUAUUACGGACGAGGUCCUAUACAACUAUCGUGGAACUUCAACUACGGACCAGCAGGGAAUAGCAUAGGGUUUGAUGGUUUGAACAAUCCAGAAGUUGUAGCCACAGAUGGCGUAGUGUCAUUCAGGACUGCUCUCUGGUUUUGGAUGAAUAAUUGUCAUGAUAGUAUAACUUCGGGUCAAGGUUUUGGGGCUACCAUUCGGGCUAUUAACGGUGCCCUUGAAUGCGAUGGAGCUAAUCCAGGCACGGUUAAUACUCGAGUUGGGUAUUACAGAGACUACUGCGAUCAACUUCAAGUUGAUCCCGGCAAUAAUUUGACGUGCUAACCAGUGAACCCUGUCGUUUCUCGAGGAACAUUAUAGUAUUGUUGAUUGAUCAAAUAACUGUACAAGCAGUUUAUUUGCUUGCUUAUUUGUUGUCCUAUGUAUUGUAGACAUCGUGUUAAUGUAUGAUUUUAAGAUAUUAUUUUUGUUGGUAACUAAUAAGAAUUGUGUUCGUGCCUUUUCAAGCCCUAUCAGAAUAUUAAAUUGACGUGCUCCCUGGAAAUUUCUGAGGGAACUCUAUUUUUCAUUUGGUAACCUUCUCUCUACAUUUUCAUAAUUUGUAAGCUGCUUCAACGGAAACGAAAAGCAACACAACUAGUAAGUUCCCAAAAUUUUGUUAAGUGAAAUAUUUGUCCGAA
rnacentral:lncRNA from 1 species